GUGAGGAAUAUUGCACAAUGGGCGAAAGCCUGAUGCAGCAACGCCGCGUGAGUGAUGAAGGCCUUUGGGUCGUAAAACUCUGUCCUUGGGGAAGAAAAAAAUGACGGUACCCUUGGAGGAAGCCCCGGCUAACUACGUGCCAGCAGCCGCGGUAAUACGUAGGGGGCAAGCGUUAUCCGGAAUUAUUGGGCGUAAAGAGUGCGUAGGUGGUUUUGUAAGCGUAGGGUGAAAGGCAGUAGCUCAACUAUUGUUAGUUCUGCGAACUGUGAGACUUGAGUGCAGGAGAGGAAAGUGGAAUUCCUAGUGUAGCGGUGAAAUGCGUAGAUAUUAGGAGGAACACCAGUGGCGAAGGCGACUUUCUGGACUGUAACUGACACUGAGGCACGAAAGCGUGGGUAGCAAACAGGAUUAGAAACCCCGGUAGUCC
rnacentral:rRNA from 1 species